rnacentral:tRNA from 1 species
UCAUAGCUCAAUCGGUAAAGAAUCUGCCUGCAGUGCAGGAGACCUGGGUUCAAUUCCUGGGUUGUGAA